GCAAAUGUAUCUGUAUCUGUAUUUGUAUCUUUAUAUGUGGCGCUGCGGCCGCUGUUGCUGCUGUUGUUGUUCUUGUUGCUGCUAUUGUAUCGCUUUUGUAUCUUUUAGCGCUGUUUUGAGUUAAGCAAUUGAUGGAUAUGGUUUAUUUAUAACGCUUGGCGACCGAAACCGAACCGAACUGAACUCAACUGAGCCGAACCUCAUCAUCCUCUCCAUCGCAUCGGCGGCAACCUCAUCAUCGCCAUCGGAAUUCCGACGACGUCGAGCAGCUCGCACAAUGAGUGCGGACGUGUAUCUGAGUAUCUGCAAGAUACUCGUACUCAUACCCGCACUCACUCGCUCGCUCGCUCGCUGCCUGCGUUCGAUAAACAAUCCUCCUUCAGAAGACCCUAUUUUGUUUGUCGAUUAAUUAUGCUGCCCCCCAAGAAAUGAUUGAGCACGUCUAAAAAUAAGUCGGAUAUCAGGGAGAAAACCCAUAAAUUUUGGGUUACCCGACGCAAUUACAACAAAAGUGGAUGCCACAUGCCCACGCUUCAAAAGCGCAACAACAAGAGCGAUAAAUAAAAACAACGAUCGACAAAAAACAAACAACGAACAACACACAGUGAAAAGUGCGUUGUACAUAAACGAAAUCGAAACGAAACGAAUAAUAAAUGAGAGGAAGAAGGAACGACAAUACUUUAUAUAGUUGAAUGACUGAACAAACCCGUCAACCACACCAACGACGAACAAAUUAACACACAAAAAAUACCAAUACCAACACCAACAACAACAACUUGCCCUCUUCGCCAACAAAAUUACCUUAAAAACACCAAACAAGCUGAAAAAAAAGGAAAUAUGGAAAACACAAGCCAACAAAAAUCUGAAAAUAAAAAUACAUUAAACGAAAUAAGAUGAAUACCAAACAAAUAAAAAAUUUAUGCGUUGCACUUGGUUGUGAAGAGUGCGAGGGAGAUGGGGCUAGGGGUGCGACAGAGACGGACAGUGAGGGAUUGUAUAAAUGGAGGCGAGCGAGAAAUUAUGCCACAAUCAAGUACAACACAGCGGCCACAACAACAACAAACAGAGAGGAAAAUUCCUUCGGAAAAAUGCGUGGUGAUGGGAAAACCGAAGUUAGAGAUGGUCAAAUUUAUCUGGGAUCAGAUUGGGCAAAGAAAAUCUCCAAAGGAAGCCAUUGGAUUAAUAUUUAUAAUUAUCUGAUCUGAUCGUAUAUAGAAUUAAUUUUUAAAAUACAAAUGGCUAAACACAAAUUUCUUAUUUUAAAAAUGUUUGCAAUAGGAAGGGUUGAUUCAAAUAUAACAGCUAUGAAAGAAUGUUAAUAACUACUGAAUACCACUUGUUAAGUUACUAAUAUAUGCUUACUAAUAAUAAU